CUGUAAGGUCUUGGUGUCCCAGCAACUCGAUAUUAUCCUAUAAUUUAUAUGCAUGUUAUUAUUCAUUGAUCGUAUAUUUGUUGCUGUGGAAUAAUCUUUUAUUUCUUUGUUAUGAAGUAGAAUAAUUAGUAAAGAAUUUGACUGAUCAUAGCUUUUUGUUGAAGGUUGUUAUGACAUUCUUUAUGGGACACAGGAGUGGCUUCACUUUUCUGUGGACUCACAUCAAAAUAAAAAGGCUUCAACCACAAAGCAUCGCUUCCUCUCAUGGAAGAAAGGGAUCUCCUGGGAAAAGAUCUUGGUUGAAAGAUUUGGAAAAGAUUUAUGAAAUUUAGAGGUGAAGAGGACAAUCAGCAUAUGGUGCUUUAGAUAGUGGAAUGUGGACUCAGCUGUAACCUUAGUUUUAGGUCACAUUACCCAGUCAAGUAGGCCAUUUUGGGUUAAUGAAUACCUUGUUCCGGAAAUAGUAAAAGAUUCAAAAGGGUUUGGAAAGAAAAGCAUGAAUUAGAGAAUGAGGACAAUGUAUAUGGAAUAGUACCAAAGAAGUGCUCUGUGACUCAGCCAAUUUGUAGGAAGGCUAGCCAAUUUUUGGGAUUAGGUUUGUAGUUGAAGAUAAACAGAUUCAAAUUGAAAAAUCCGUGUAUGGAACUUACGCAGUUACGCCUAUCUAUGCUGACUCGGCUUCAUUUCACUUCAAGUAUCCUUGCUUGAUUCUUUAAACUCCAACAUGGUUAUGUAUACUUUUACACUUUCUUUUGGACCAUUAUUAUGGACGUUUUUAUAAAGAAGCCAAGUCUAACACUCAAACACGUACAUAUGUUUGACAUGGGUACCCGAGUCCAUCAACAUAGCACAUUGUAUACCCUGCUAUUAAAGCGGAUACUCCCCUGAUUGAUGAGUGUGGGAAAUUGUUACAAGAUUUGCAUAGAUUUGGAGAAAAUAUGAGAAAUUAUUGGGAAUGUUGUAGGUACUAUUCUUAUAGAAGUAUGAUUUAUGGAUUCCAAAUUUGCUGUGGGAUGCUUUCAUUAAGCUGAUGACAAUCAACACAUAACUUAAAAGCUUCCUGGCGUGUAGUUUCUUCACUUAAGACAGCAAAAAUGAUACACUCUACUCGUGUCAGAAACCAAGAAAUAAUUGUACCUGCCAAAUGUUGUUUCAAUUAUUAUGAUAUGUUUUCCCAUCUAUAAUUUGAGUCCUUUAGAAAACAUACUCAUGAUUGGAUAUUCUUAUCAUAUUCAAGACCGUACUUGCCUCUUUCUUCAUGAAAUCUUGUACUUGUUUACCUAAAACAAAGCAUAUGCUUAUCUCUGGUGAGUAUCUUCCCUAUGUAUCUUUACACGGAGUAUAGUUACCACAGUUUGUUGAUGCUGUGUGCUCUGGUUGACUGAGGUUGGAUAAACGAGAUAUAUUCUGGCUUUUAUUACGUGAAUGUCAACUAGUUUAGUAAAAUUCGAAAAAUUGGUAUCCCAAACUCGAGAUUUAUGUCUCGUUUACAUCAUUGUUGUAUCAUGGCUUCCCAUGGACCUAAAAAUUUUAAGGCUCAAAAUUACAUUUACAUCACGACUUAAAGUGCCUGUUGAAAAACAACAAAAAAUGCUAUUAACAGACUAUUGUAGUAAGAGCCUGAACAUCAUAAUAUAGUUAGAUAUUGGAAUUAAAAUACAAGGGAAAAUUCCAUUGGAAUAAUCAUUUGAAUUAGUUCUACAAAAUCCAAGAUUUUGAUAUUCUAAGCCAAUUUAUAAUCUGAUGCGCCUCUUUCACUUUUAAUUUGAAUAUCAUGGACUAAUAAUAUUCACAUAGACAAUACCAUGCAGAGAGACAAAAACACAGCUAUCUUCUAGAAAACAUACAAUUUAGCAACCCCAAAAACAAAGAUGUAAACAAGUACAAACUACUAAGAUUAAGACAACAUCCUUGUUAAAAAAAACUCUAAUUAAAUUUCAUGUCAUCCAUGAGGAUAGUGCUGUGUUGGUUGAAUCUGGAAACCCAUGCUUUGAGCUCCAACAUAGUUUUCUAGAAAAUCACCCCUCUGUAUAUUCUGUCCCUGCACUUUUAACCCAUAUGAGCCAACACCAUAGGGUGCCAUGAACAAAUUUCCUUGCAUCGUAUCGAAAGCAAUGGCGGUUGUGUUGCUUGAUUGAUCCCACUGGAAAUGUGUUUUAGGCAUGGUUAUUGAAUUUGCCUGUUGUUGUUGUUGUGUUUGCACUGUAAUUGUGGAUUGUUCUGGUGAAUUAGAUCUCUUGCUGCUACUGUUAUUAUCUGGUGAAAGAGCUUCAGUUUCUAGAUUAACAGUUGUUAUAUCAUGAAUACUAGCUCUUCUCUUGUCUUUCCCUCCUGAAAGUUGCCUUAUGAAGUAUUUUUGUGCAUGACUGGCUACUUGAGUAGGAGUUCUUGUUACCACAAAAUUCCUUGAAAUGUUCCUCCAAUCUCCUUUCCCAUAUUUCUUCAAACCCAUCAAGAAUAACCUGCACAAUUCACAUAAUUUUUUGGCAUACAUGUCAAAAUUAUGCCAUCAAAAUUGCACAACAAAACAUUUACCAAUAUGUUCAAUAUGUUCAAACUAUCUAUGUUGUAUUCUUGUCUUGUCUUCUGAAUAUUAAUCAGCUCAGAACAGAUUGAUCCCACAAUCAAACAAUUACUCAGAAGUCAGUCAGAACACACACACACACACAAUGACACAAUGACACAAACCCAAUUCACCUAAUGCCCACUAUAGUUGAAAUAUAGCACAUUUGAAGUUAAGAAAGAAGUUCAAGGGAACUUACUUAUGCUCUUCCUCAGUCCAUGGAACCCCCUUCUUUCUCUCUUGAUCCGCGGGCCGAGCUCCGGGUGGACCAGGAGGCCCCCUCUUGCCACCAGGGCUAUAAGUGUGUCUGUAACCAUCAUAGCCAUUGUGGUUAACCCAUUCUAAUGUGAAAGCAGAGGUUGUAUCAUAUCCAGGAAUUGGGACUAACCCAGCUUCAAUAUUACAAACAUCAUCUUCUAAUUCCUUGUAUUGUUUUAUCACAUCUCCCACUGUCUUACCUGGGAGCAUAGCUGCCACUUUUUGCCAACGAUCUGGUGUAUCCUUAUCAUAUACUGCUAGUGCAUUUUCAAAUAUCUUGUUUUCAGCUUGACUCCAUCUUGUACUCCUACUUUCAUCAAUCAACCAACUUGCACUUGAAAGGUAUGAUGAUAAAACUUCCAUCUCCCACUUCAUCAAUAGAAAAUU